AGAGUUUGAUCCUGGCUCAGAUUGAACGCUGGCGGCAGGCCUAACACAUGCAAGUCGAACGGCAGCACAGAGGAGCUUGCUCCUUGGGUGACGAGUGGCGGACGGGUGAGUAAUGUCUGGGAAACUGCCCGAUGGAGGGGGAUAACUACUGGAAACGGUAGCUAAUACCGCAUAACGUCGCAAGACCAAAGAGGGGGACCUUCGGGCCUCUUGCCAUCGGAUGUGCCCAGAUGGGAUUAGCUAGUUGGUGAGGUAACGGCUCACCAAGACCAUGAUGCAUAGCCGACCUGAGAGGGUGAUCGGCCACACUGGGACUGAGACACGGCCCAGACUCCUACGGGAGGCAGCAGUAGGGAAUCUUCGGCAAUGGACGAAAGUCUGACCGAGCAACGCCGCGUGAGUGAAGAAGGCCUUCGGGUUGUAAAGUACUUUCAGCGAGGAGGAAGGCGUUGUGGUUAAUAACCGCAGCGAUUGACGUUACUCGCAGAAGAAGCACCGGCUAACUCCGUGCCAGCCGCCGCGGUAAUAC
rnacentral:rRNA from 1 species